rnacentral:snRNA from 1 species
CAGCUCGCUUCGGCAGCACAUAGACUAAAAUUGGAACGAUACAGAGAAGAUUAGCAUGGCCCCUGCACAAGGAUGGCAUGCAAAUCUGUGAGGCAUCCCAUAUUUUU